CGGAGUUCCCCUAGUCAGGAUGUUAAAUCCACAGACGAUAGAAUAAAGUAGAUGCUCAGAUACCGGAGGUCGGGCGACCCCACGCCGACGCUAGUGAUUAUCCCGGCCGUGGGACGCGCCGCCGUCAAUUCUGGCAGCUGAGUAUAUUGCCCGAACAUUCGGCUCUUCAUUAAAAAAUCCUCUCUGUCCCUAAUAAAUAUUAAGGAAUGGAAUCAACGCCUUUCGAGAGACAAUUAAAUUCCCCUCGAUCGGGUCAAGUUUCAUCCCUUAAUAUUUAUUAGGAAUGGAGACAUCAUUUUUUAAUGCACAGGCGUCCCCACGCCGCCAGAAUCAACGGUGGCGCGCCCUAGCGGCGAAGUAAUUACUGGCGUCUCGGCGUGGGGUUCGAUCCCCCCGAUCUGUGCCACUGCUUCAGUCCAUCCGAAGAGUCGUCGGCGACUGAUGACGCCGAGGUUCACAAAAUGGCUGAGACUCUAUUGUGGGUCUCAUAUGUCCGAAGCGUCCUCCACUCCCACUCUUUACCGUUGCAGUGCAUGAUGGGACGCUUCAUGUCAGCCAUCUUGUGGCAUCAGUCGCUUCCCGCCUAAAGCCCGGAAGGCCGGCUUUGGACGUAACGUAGUCAGAGCUCAUCAUCAACUAAUUAAAUAAAAUCACAACUAACACGACCACUCAAGAGUUAAUUGAGUAAAGCAACAUCAUUCACUCUGGAUAAAAAGCGUCACUCAACUCUUAAUCGCUGAAACGAAUUCACCAGUACUCCAUUGAAUUCACAGGGGCAUUGAACGUCAGCUUGCAGAAGUAAGGCACCUUGUCCUCCUUCGGUCGAUGCAACUCAAGUAAUUCUUCCACCGGAAAUUGCCAAAUUACCAAAUGCUCGUAAAAACUUUGCGGACUUUAAUUCCACUUACGAAAGCACAAGCUCAUCCAAUCGAUUCGUCACGUAAAAUAUUUGCUAACUUCAUGCGAAAGACUGAUUCCUCAUUGGUCAAUACAAUCGCCAUAUGUUCCCAUUGAGAGCGGGAAAUUCAAAUAGCAAAGGGAAGCACAAUCGGUCUCGUAAAAAUUAUAUGA